ACAGAUUGACUGCUUUGGAGGGAUGUAACUUUGGGGAAAACGCAAACUCCAGGAAGAAAAGAUGGGUGCAGAGUCCCAUGAUUGCGGAAACAGUACGCCGUCUUCACAACUCGGAGACAAACACUAGGCGAUACGAGCCGGCGCAAGGACUAACUUUGCCUCAUAACGAAGCCGUGACAAGCUAUUUAGUGCGGGCUUUGCCGACAAAUCCAAAUCUUCAUGAUGC